GACGAACGCUGGCGGCGUGCUUAACACAUGCAAGUCGAACGGAAAGGCCCUGCUUUUGUGGGGUGCUCGAGUGGCGAACGGGUGAGUAACACGUGAGUAACCUGCCCUUGACUUUGGGAUAACUUCAGGAAACUGGGGCUAAUAUCGGAUAGGAUCUCCUGCAGCAUGGUGGGGGUUGGAAAGUUUCGGCGGUUGGGGAUGGACUCGCGGCUUAUCAGCUUGUUGGUGGGGUAGUGGCUUACCAAGGCUUUGACGGGUAGCCGGCCUGAGAGGGUGACCGGCCACAUUGGGACUGAGAUACGGCCCAGACUCCUACGGGAGGCAGCAGUGGGGAAUAUUGCACAAUGGGCGGAAGCCUGAUGCAGCAACGCCGCGUGCGGGAUGACGGCCUUCGGGUUGUAAACCGCUUUCGCCUGUGACGAAGCGUGAGUGACGGUAAUGGGUAAAGAAGCACCGGCUAACUACGUG
rnacentral:rRNA from 1 species